rnacentral:rRNA from 1 species
AGCAGCCGCGGUAAUUCCAGCUCCAAUAGCGUAUAUUAAAGUUGUUGCAAUUAAAAAGCUCGUAGUUGAAUUUCGAGACCGGUUUAUUGGUCGUGCUUUUGUACGUACUGGUAUUAUUGGUUUCUCCUUUCUGACGAAUCUUAAUGCCAUUAAUUUGGUGUUUUGGGGAAUCAGGACUGUUACUUUGAAAAAAUUAGAGUGUUUAAAGCAGGCUCACGCUUGAAUACAUUAGCAUGGAAUAACGGAAUAGGACGUUUGAUUCUAUUUUGUUGGUUUCUAGGAUCGACGUAAUGAUUAAUAGGGAUAGUUGGGGGCAUUAGUAUUCAAUUGUCAGAGGUGAAAUUCUUGGAUUUAUUGAAGACUAACUACUGCGAAAGCAUUUGCCAAGGAUGUUUUCAUUAAUCAAGAACGAAAGUUAGGGGAUCGAAGACGAUCAGAUACCGUCGUAGUCUUAACCAUAAACUAUGCCGACUAGGGAUCGGAUGAUGUUAAUUUUUAAUGACUCAUUCGGCGCCUUACG